rnacentral:rRNA from 1 species
AGAGUUUGAUCCUGGCUCAGGACGAACGCUGGCGGCGCGCCUAACACAUGCAAGUCGAACGAGCGAGAGAGAGCUUGCUUUCUCAAGCGAGUGGCGAACGGGUGAGUAACGCGUGAGGAACCUGCCUCAAAGAGGGGGACAACAGUUGGAAACGACUGCUAAUACCGCAUAAGCCCACGGGUCGGCAUCGACCAGAGGGAAAAGGAGCAAUCCGCUUUGAGAUGGCCUCGCGUCCGAUUAGCUAGUUGGUGAGGUAAUGGCCCACCAAGGCGACGAUCGGUAGCCGGACUGAGAGGUUGAACGGCCACAUUGGGACUGAGACACGGCCCAGACUCCUACGGGAGGCAGCAGUGGGGAAUAUUGCACAAUGGGGGAAACCCUGAUGCAGCGACGCCGCGUGGAGGAAGAAGGUCUUCGGAUUGUAAACUCCUGUUGUUGAGGAAGAUAAUGACGGUACUCAACAAGGAAGUGACGGCUAACUACGUGCCAGCAGCCGCGGUAAAACGUAGGUCACAAGCGUUGUCCGGAAUUACUGGGUGUAAAGGGAGCGCAGGCGGGAAGACAAGUUGGAAGUGAAAUCCAUGGGCUCAACCCAUGAACUGCUUUCAAAACUGUUUUUCUUGAGUAGUGCAGAGGUAGGCGGAAUUCCCGGUGUAGCGGUGGAAUGCGUAGAUAUCGGGAGGAACACCAGUGGCGAAGGCGGCCUACUGGGCACCAACUGACGCUGAGGCUCGAAAGUGUGGGUAGCAAACAGGAUUAGAUACCCUGGUAGUCCACACCGUAAACGAUGAUUACUAGGUGUUGGAGGAUUGACCCCUUCAGUGCCGCAGUUAACACAAUAAGUAAUCCACCUGGGGAGUACGACCGCAAGGUUGAAACUCAAAGGAAUUGACGGGGGCCCGCACAAGCAGUGGAGUAUGUGGUUUAAUUCGACGCAACGCGAAGAACCUUACCAAGUCUUGACAUCCUGCGACGCACAUAGAAAUAUGUGUUUCCUUCGGGACGCAGAGACAGGUGGUGCAUGGUUGUCGUCAGCUCGUGUCGUGAGAUGUUGGGUUAAGU